AGGGGCGUGGGAUAGCAGUCGGUUUUAUAGGUUGUGGGGAAGGCAGUGGAAAGUUACAGGAGUUAUAGUUUAGGGCAAUUUUUUUGCAAGCUGGGAGGGGGGUCAUAGGGUGUGGAGUCACGAGGUUGGCCAAGGUCGGUUGCAAAGUCCAGCGGCCUUGUCAAUUGAGGCCGGAAUGAGAAGCAAUAGAAGAGUGUCUCGGGUUAGUUACGCACCGCAGGGAUUGAUGGUCCUUCCAUUUGUCACAAUUUUCCGGCUACUUCAGGUUUUCUAAUUCCAGAAGGCCCUCCAGAGGUGUACGUGUGGGUCAUGGGGGUCAUCAUGCCGUCCACAGCGCGAUCAGGCCUUCCAAACCCAGAUUCUCAGAAUUAAACAUUUUCAUGUCCUGGAGGAUGACACAAAAAUACCUCAAAAUGUGUUUGUCAAGAGAUUAUACUCGGGAUUUUGUGGACCAUUUUCUAAUUUCCAAUUCAGACAAAGGCCUCCUAGCAAAGCUGGUCUUUCCUAGGGCAUCCCCCUACCCCCCAGCGCCCUGCCUCAUUCCUGAAUGGCCUGUCCACAUAGAGCACUGCCUGCGUGGUCACUGAGGGAGGCAGUUGCAUCCCAGAGAAGGUGGUGUCCAGGGCUUGAUGAGGAAGCUCUGUGUGUGGCCAGGAGAUGUCCCAGGAGCUGGCUGGUGCCCACCUUCUCUCAUUUCCUUACCACCCUCCUUCUUGUGUUGCUGCUUUCCCCUUCCCAGCUCUAAACUACCCAUGGUGCUGGAGGGCCAGAGAAGAAGUGUUACUACAGCUGCCCCCACUACCCACAACGAGCCCCAGUCUGCACACAGAGGCUCUGGGCUCCUUUUUCCCAAUCACAGACGAGAAUGUGUGUGAAAGAAGAGGCGCUUGUUCUCUCACUGGAGCUCCAGGAUGGGAAGAACUCAUCGGUAUCACAGAGACUGAAGAGGGAGCUAAGAAUUGUGGAGCAAGAACAGCAGCAGCAGCAAGUCUGGUGAGAGAAAUGCCAAACUCUCUGCUGUGAUUUUCUUUUUAAUGGAGUUUCACUCUGUCACUCUCUCUACUCUGACUGGAGUGCUGUGGUACCAUCUCAGCUCACUGCAAACUCUGCCCCCUGGUUCAAGCAGUUCUCCUGCCUCAGCCUCCCAAGUAGCUGGGAUUACAGGUGUGUGCCACCAUGCCUGGCUAAUUUUUGUAUUUUUAGUAGAGAUCGGGUUUUGCCAUGUUGACCAGGUUGGUCUGAAACUCCUGACCUUAAGUGAUCCACCCACCUUGGCCUCCCAAAGUACUGGGAUUAUAGGUAUGAGCCACCAUGCCCGGCCUGCUGUGAUUUUUCACUGAAGCUGAUUAACUCAUUUUUAGCCCCUAUUUUUGGUACAAAAACAGAACUGAGGUUGUAAUCACGUGAUGAGUGUUUCUUGCCCACUGCACAGAUAACGUUAAUCUAUAGAGAUUACAGAAUUGCAGGAAAGAAAGAGUUUGAUGUGAGGCCACCCACAUGGAAGAAAUGGAGUUACCACACAAACCAGUCUCCCCAGAAGCUUGGAGGUCAGGGUUUUUGUGGACAAUUUGGUGGGCAAGGAGCUAGGGAAUGGGUGUUGCUGAUAGGUAGGGGGUGAAAUCAUAGGGGUGUGAAAAACGGUCCUUAUGUUCUGAGUCUGCCUCUCGGUGGGGCCACAGGACCAGCUGAGUCAUGAAUCCAGGUGGAGCCCGUCUGAAGAACAUCUCAAAAAAUCAGCCUUAGGUUCCAAAAUAGUGAUGUUCUGUGCAGGAACAAAUGGGGAAGUACAAAUCUUGUGACCCCUGGACACACGAGCCCUGCGUGGUAAGGGAUUAAUGUGCCUGCAUGUUAGCAGAGUUCACUCCCUUCCCACAAUUCUUAUCUUGUAUCCCUUCAUUAAUCUUACAAAGGCAGUUUUCAGUCCCCGAGCAAGAAGAGGGUUUGUUUUUGGGAGGGACUAUUAUCAUCCUUGAUUUCAGGUUUAACUGUAAACUAGGUUCCUCCCAAAGUUAGCUCAGUCUGCAGCCAGGAAUGACGAGGACAGCUGGGAAGGCAGAGGCGAGAUGGACUCAACUACACCCAAUUUCUCUUACUGUCGUAAUUUUGCAAAGGCCCUUUCAAGGUCACUCUGCUCAUGAUCCAACACAUCCUCAAGGAGUGAGAGUGAGCCCGUGUGCGUGUCGUGUGACUUUCCGUAACAGGCCUUGCCCUGCAGCCUUCUACCCCGCUGGAACUGGAGUCUGGCCUUGGCUGGUCCCCACCAGCAGGGCUGCCAUCACCUCAUCUUCGUCUGCCCCACUGCUGUUUCCGAGCCAGUUGAGUCCCCCGAAAUGCAUACACUGAAGCCCUAACCUCUUGUGCCUCAGAAUGGGACUGUAUUUGGAGAUAGGGUUUUAGAGAGGUAGUCAAGGUUAAAUGAAACCACUUGUGUGAGCCCUUAUCCAGACUGACUGAUGUCCUUGUAAGAAGAGGAAAUUUGGGCACUAAUACUCACAGAGGAGGAAAUCAUUUGACAACACAGAGAGAAGAGGGCCAAGGACAGAGGUCUCAGAGAAGCCAGCCCGAUGACACUUGGUCUUGGAUUUCCAGUCUCCAGAAUUACUGGAAAAUACAUUUUUCUUGUUGAGGCCACCCAAUCUGACUGCUUCGCUAUGGCAACCCUAGCUAACUCAUGCAGUCCCCAACCCGGGGUGAAAAUGAAACUUUCCCAACUCAAAUAAGCUGUUGGGCCAAGCUUAUUUGUAGUAGAUUCUUUUUUCAAAGGAUCUACACAUUGAGAUUCUCAUGGUAUUUCUUGUUAAAAGCAUAGGACUUUGAAAUGUCUUUUUGUUGCAGAUACAUAGAUGUUCUGAGCCAUAAUUUUUGGAAAAUGCUUUCAAAGAAAGGGAAAUCUCCUGAACAAACAGCAUGAUUAAUGGGGAUGUAAUGACAAAAUAAUUGGCCCUAAUUGGAUUUGUGAUGUUUGUGCAAGUUGAAAUCAGCUUCAAAAUCCAACGUGCGCAUGAAAGAAUUUUCAAUAUCAUGCCUUAAAUUAAAACCACAAUUAAAUCACCUCACAUUUAUUAGUGUAGCUACCAUUAAGAAAAGGCAAAACAAAACAGAAAACAGCAACAAUAGCCGGCAAGGAUGGGGAGAAAUUGGAAGCCUUGUGAAGCCAUCCCACAGUGUUGACAAGAAUCGCAUGCUGGGUUCUGGACGGAGAUGGUUCUAAUUCAGUCCUAAUCAGUUUGCACUUGGCCCACUUCCUCAUUGUCAAAAGUCCCAUCACCCUAGAUGCUGACCAUGUACAUCCCAGCUGUUCCUAUAGACAGGAUCUCUGACGUUAGAAUCAUAAGGUUUUUGUUUAAGGAUCACUUAUGAUGUUUUUCAGAGCCCAAAUUCCAACAGCCAGUUUGAAGACUCCCACAGAGUAACGGGAUCAGCAUGAGAAUACAGCCUCUUCAUCUCCCUAUCCUGUGACUUCACCCUGCACUCUUCCAACCAGUGAUCUCCACAUUGCAGCCCAUUCCAAAACCCUAAAAAACCCCUACCCCCAAACUCCUCAGGGAGACAGAUCUGAGGUUUCCUCUCAUCCCCUCAUUUGGUGACCUGAUGAUUACACCUCUUUGCCUGCU